CAGGAUGAACGCUAGCUACAGGCUUAACACAUGCAAGUCGAGGGGCAGCAUUUCAGUUUGCUUGCAAACUGGAGAUGGCGACCGGCGCACGGGUGAGUAACACGUAUCCAACCUGCCGAUAACUCGGGGAUAGCCUUUCGAAAGAAAGAUUAAUACCCGAUGGUAUAAUCAGACCGCAUGGUCUUGUUAUUAAAGAAUUUCGGUUAUCGAUGGGGAUGCGUUCCAUUAGGCAGUUGGUGAGGUAACGGCUCACCAAACCUUCGAUGGAUAGGGGUUCUGAGAGGAAGGUCCCCCACAUUGGAACUGAGACACGGUCCAAACUCCUACGGGAGGCAGCAGUGAGGAAUAUUGGUCAAUGGGCGCAGGCCUGGACCAGCCAAGUAGCGUGAAGGAUGACUGCCCUAUGGGUUGUAAACUUCUUUUAUAUGGGAAUAAAGUUUUCCACGUGUGGAAUUUUGUAUGUACCAUAUGAAUAAGGAUCGGCUAACUCCGUGCCAGCAGCCGCGGUAAUACGGAGGAUCCGAGCGUUAUCCGGAUUUAUUGGGUUUAAAGGGAGCGUAGGUGGACAGUUAAGUCAGUUGUGAAAGUUUGCGGCUCAACCGUAAAAUUGCAGUUGAUACUGGCUGUCUUGAGUACAGUAGAGGUGGGCGGAAUUCGUGGUGUAGCGGUGAAAUGCUUAGAUAUCACGAAGAACUCCGAUUGCGAAGGCAGCUCACUGGACUGCAACUGACACUGAUGCUCGACAGUGUGGGUAUCAAACAGG
rnacentral:rRNA from 1 species